rnacentral:tRNA from 1 species
GGUGGCUCAGUGGGAGAGUGCUUGCCUUGCAUGCAUGAGGUCCUGGGUUUGAUUCCUCAGCACCA